UUAAUUUUCGCAAGAAAACUGUCAUCAAAUUUUACAAUAAAUCCUUUCGAUCCAAGAAUGUCCCGCCUUCCAGCGACUUUUGUUUCAGCCUUGAUCAUUCUGCUGUGUCUGGCACCAUCUGAAAAAACAGAACCGACAGAAUGUUACAAAUGCAAAAGAGAAUGCACGGAUCCUAUUAAAACAGAAAAAUGCCGACACGCUUCUGAUGAUAACAAAACGUACGUUUGUGCGACCCAAAACCGCCUAACUUCCGAUCGCCUAUUCGUCGAAAAAGGAUGCUUUCAGCUGGGAGAUUAUUUCAUGAACACGUGCCAUAACAGUUCAGACCUUGUAUGCGUUGGCUGUGACACAGAUCUUUGUAACACCGGACAAUUUCUGUAUUACACGGGACCGAAUUCUACUGGCACCAGUGUGCCACGAACAUCUUUAAAUUAUUAUUCGUCGUCCAUCUUACUGUCCAUUACGUUUUUUCUUGUGAUUUUACAAUAAAAUUUACAGUAAUAAA